GUUACAUGUGUUAAGAGGCAUAUCGCCCCAAAAGGUUCAUUUCAUUUCAGUUGUUUGUGUUAUACGGGGUUUCACCCCCGGACAGGUGCACAAGUGGUUUGAUGAGUGGGACGCGCACGGACCGCGCCCGCACCGCUCGACGCCCGCAAGGGGCGGAGCAGGGCGCGGAGCGCGACCGGCAUUCACAGUAAUGAUCCUUCCGCAGGUUCACCUACGGAAA
rnacentral:misc_RNA from 1 species